GCCGGAAUUGCUAGUAAUGGCAGGUCAGCAUACUGCUGUGAAUACGUUCCCGGGCCUUGUACACACCGCCCGUCACACCAUGAGAGUUGGGAAUACCCGAAGCCUGUGAGCUAACGUUAAGAGGCAGCAGUCGAAGGUAGAAUCAAUGAUUGGGGCGAAGUCGUAACAAGGUAAC
rnacentral:rRNA from 1 species